GGAGAAAGAGGGCCUCUCUUGAUGCUCUCGCUAUUAGAUGAGCCUGCGUAAGAUUAGCUUGUUGGUGAGGUAAUGGCUCACCAAGGCUACGAUCUUUAGCUGGUCUGAGAGGACGAUCAGCCACAUUGGGACUGAGACACGGCCCAGACUCCUACGGGAGGCAGCAGUGGGGAAUAUUGGACAAUGGGCGCAAGCCUGAUCCAGCCAUACCGCGUGUGUGAAGAAGGCUCUAGGGUUGUAAAGCACUUUAAGCAGGGAGAAAAAGUUAUAAGUUAAUACCUUAUAACCGUGAUGUUACCUGCAGAAUAAGCACCGGCUAAUUCCGUGCCAGCAGCCGCGGUAAUACGGAAGGUGCAAGCGUUAAUCGGAAUUACUGGGCGUAAAGCGCGCGUAGGUGGUUUGUUAAGUUGGAUGUGAAAGCCCUGGGCUCAACCUAGGAACUGCAUCCAAAACUAACUCACUAGAGUACGAUAGAGGGAGGUAGAAUUCAUAGUGUAGCGGUGGAAUGCGUAGAUAUUAUGAAGAAUACCAGUGGCGAAGGCGGCCUCCUGGAUCUGUACUGACACUGAGGUGCGAAAGCGUGGGUAGCGAACAGGAUUAGAUACCCUGGUAGUCCACGCCGUAAACGAUGACAACUAGCUGUUGGGAGACAAUGUCUUUCAGUGGCGCAGCUAACGUUUUAAGUUGUCCGCCUGGGGAGUACGGCCGCAAGGCUAAAACUCAAAUGAAUUGACGGGGACCCGCACAAGCGGUGGAGCAUGUGGUUUAAUUCGAUGCCACGCGAAAAACCUUACCUACUCUUGACAUACUUGGAAGCUCUUGUAAU
rnacentral:rRNA from 1 species